UAGGGAAUCUUCCACAAUGGACGCAAGUCUGAUGGAGCAACGCCGCGUGAGUGAAGAAGGUUUUCGGACCGUAAAGCUCUGUUGUUGGUGAAGAAGGAUAGAGGUAGUAACUGGCCUUUAUUUGACGGUAAUCAACCAGAAAGUCACGGCUAACUACGUGCCAGCAGCCGCGGUAAUACGUAGGUGGCAAGCGUUGUCCGGAUUUAUUGGGCGUAAAGCGAGCGCAGGCGGAAGAAUAAGUCUGAUGUGAAAGCCCUCGGCUUAACCGAGGAAUUGCAUCGGAAACUGUUUUCUUGAGUGCAGAAGAGGAGAGUAGAACUCCAUGUGUAGCGUAGUAGAUGCGUAGAUAUAUGGAAGAAUACCAGUGGCGAAGGCGGCUCUCUGGUCUGCAACUGACGCUGAGGCUCGAAAGCAUGGGUAGCGAACAGGAUUAGAUACCCUGGUAGUCCAUGCCGUAAACGAUGAGUGCUAAGUGUUGGGAGGCUUCCGCCUCUCAGUGCUGCAGCUAACGCAUUAAGCACUCCGCCUGGGGGAGUACGACCGCAAGGUUGAAAC
rnacentral:rRNA from 1 species